UACGUAGGGCGCAAGCGUUGUCCGGAAUUAUUGGGCGUAAAGAGCUCGUAGGCGGUUUGUCGCGUCUGCUGUGAAAGACCGGGGCUCAACUCCGGUUCUGCAGUGGGUACGGGCAGACUAGAGUGCAGUAGGGGAGACUGGAAUUCCUGGUGUAGCGGUGAAAUGCGCAGAUAUCAGGAGGAACACCGAUGGCGAAGGCAGGUCUCUGGGCUGUAACUGACGCUGAGGAGCGAAAGCAUGGGGAGCGAACAGG
rnacentral:rRNA from 1 species